rnacentral:ncRNA from 2 species
AUGAAUCUUGGCGAUGGAGUUCGCCCUCAACCGCCCAGAGGACUGCUGACGGGCUGAUGACUCCUACCUAACU